GGUCAAGCGGAAAUAAGGCGCACGGUGGAUGCCUUGGCAUCAAGGGCCGAAGAAGGGCGUGGCAAGACUGCGAUAAGCCUCGGCGAGCUGUCUAGCAAGCCUAGCCGGGGAUUCCCGAAUGGGGCAACCCAUCCCGAUAAAAUCGGGAUACCCCCAGCCGAACACAUAGGCUGGGUGGAGGUAAGCGGGGGAACUGAAACAUCUUAGUACCCCGAGGAAAAGAUAUACAUUCCCUUAGUAGUGGCGAACGAACGGGGAACAGCCUAAACUGUAAUAGCUGAGUGGUUUCAGGACCUAUGUUGUUACAGUGUUGCAAGAACGGUCAUACUGAACCUGGACUAAGUGAAGGAGUUACCAACCGUACCCUAGAUGAAGGUCUCUGGAAAGAGCCACCACAGAGGGUGAUAGUCCCGUAAACGAAAGGGGAAGGCUCCUGACCAUUUCUUAAGUACCAUGGGGCACGAGGAACCCCAUGGGAAUCCGCUCCGCCCACGGAGCAAGGCUAAAUACUCUUGAUGACCGAUAGCGAACUAGUACCGUGAGGGAAAGGUGAAAAACACCCCGGGAGGGGAGUGAAAUAGAUCUGAAACCGUGUGCUAACAAGCGGUCAGAGUCCUUCUUCGGAAGGAUGAUGGCGUGCCUAUUGAAGAAUGAGCCAGUGAGUUAAUCUGUGUGGCAUGGUUAAGCAAUUAAGUUGCGGAGCCGGAGCGAAAGCGAGUCCGAAUAGGGCGACUAAGUCGCACGGAUUAGACCCGAAGCCGGGUGAGCUAUCCAUGGUCAGUGUGAAGCUCUGGUAAAAUCAGAGUGGAAGUACGAACCCGUUAGCGUUGCAAAGCUAUGGGAUGAACUGUGGAUAGGGGUGAAAUGCCAAACGAACCCGGAGAUAGCUGGUUCUCCCCGAAAUGUAUUUAGGUACAGCCCCAGAUGGUCGCUCGUGGAGGUAGGGCUCUGAAUGGAUUAGGGGGAUAGCAUCCUACCAACUCCAAUCAAACCUUGAAUGCCAUGAGCCUUUAGUCUGGGAGUGAGACUGUGGGGGAUAAGCUCCAUGGUCGAGAGGGAAACAGCCCAGACCAUCAGCUAAGGUCCCUAAGCGCGAGCUAAGUGGGAAAGGAAGUACUACCGCGCAGACAGCCAGGAGGUUGGCUUAGAAGCAGCCACCCUUCAAAGAGUGCGUAAUAGCUCACUGGUUGAGUGGUGGUGCGCCGACAAUUCAACGGGGCUUAAGCUCGUCACCGAAGCUAUGGUUCCGGUUCUUCGGAAUCGGAAGGUAGGGGAGCGUUCCCGCGCUGUGAAGCUAUUGCGUGAGCAAUUGUGGAGCGACGGGAAGUGAGAAUGCUGGCAUGAGUAGCGAAAGACGUGUGAGAAACACGUCCACCGGAAACCCGAGGUUUCCUACGGAAGGUUAAUCCGCGUAGGGUUAGUCGGGCCUAAGCUGAGGCCGCGAGGCGUAAGCGAUGGACAACGGGUUAUUAUUCCCGUACCGUUCCUGUGGAGGCAAAGAGGGGGUACGGAUGGGCAGGUUGAGCAUACCUAUUGGACAUGGUGUGUUCUUCAUCCAAGGUGAUGCCGGGGCAGGGAAAUCCACUCCGGAUGUUAUAGCUGAGGAUGAAGGGAAAUUGAGGGGAGACCCGAGAUAACUCAGCUGUGCUCCUACCGUCUAGAAAAGCCUCGUUGCCGUUGAACCAGGAGCGCCCGUACCGCAAACCGACUCUGGUGGGUGGGGAUGAGAGUCCCAAGGUGUUCGAGAAAACCCUCGUUAAGGAACUCGGCAAUCUAGCCCCGUAACUUAGGGAAAAGGGGCGCCCCGGCUAAUACCCGGGGCAGCAUUAAACGGGCCCAAGUGACUGUUUAACAAAAACACAGGUCUCUGCGAAAGCGUAAGCUGACGUAUAGGGGCUGAUACCUGCCCAGUGCCGGAAGGUUAAGGGGAGUGGUCAUCCCGACGCAAGUCGGGAGAAGCUGCGAACCGAAGCCCCGGUGAACGGCGGCCGUAACUAUAACGGUCCUAAGGUAGCGAAAUCCCUUGUCGGGUAAGUUCCGACCUGCACGAAUGGUGUAACAACUUGGGCGCUGUCUCAACGAGGGGCUCGGCGAAAUUGAAGUACCCGUGAAGAUGCGGGUUACCCGUCACAGGACAAAAAGACCCUGUGGAGCUUUACUGUAUCUUGGCACUGGAUCUGGGCUUAACUUGCGUAGUAUAGGUGGGAGGCUGAGAAGCCCUUCUCUCGGGAGGGGUGGAGCCAACAGUGAAAUACCACUCUUGUUGAGUUUAGGUUCUAACCUCAGUGCAAGCUGGGGGACAGUGUCAGGUGGGCAGUUUGACUGGGGCGGUCGCCUCCCAAAUGGUAACGGAGGCGCCCAAAGGUUCCCUCAGAGUGGAUGGAAAUCACUCAGUGAGUGCAUUGGCAUAAGGGAGCUUGACUGUGAGACCUACAAGUCGAACAGGGACGAAAGUCGGGCAAAGUGAUCCUACGGCUCCGAGUGGAAGGGCCGUGGCUUAACGGAUAAAAGCUACCCCGGGGAUAACAGGCUUAUCUUGCCCAAGAGUUCAUAUCGACGGCAAGGUUUGGCACCUCGAUGUCGGCUCGUCGCAUCCUGGGGGUGAAGCAGCUCCCAAGGGUCCGGCUGUUCGCCGGUUAAAGCGGUACGCGAGCUGGGUUCAGACCGUCGUGAGACAGGUCGGUCUCUAUCCGUGAUGGGCGUCCGGAGAUUUGAGGGGGGCUCUCUCUAGUACGAGAGGAUCGAGAGGGACAGACCGCUGGUGUCCCAGUUGUCCCGCCAGGGGCAUUGCUGGGUAGCUAUGUCUGGUUGUGAUAAGUGCUGAAAGCAUCUAAGUACGAAGCAUGCCCCGAGAUAAUAUCUCCUGUCCCCGGUUCGCCGGGGAGUAAGUCCGCAGGUAGACUACCUGCUCGAUAGGCGGCGUGUGUAAGCACAGCAAUGUGUUUAGCUAAGCCGUACUAAUGGACGAGGGCUUGACCUG
rnacentral:rRNA from 1 species